UACGUAGGGACCAAGCGUUGUUCGGAUUUACUGGGCGUAAAGGGCGCGUAGGCGGCUUAACAAGUCACUUGUGAAAUCUCCGGGCUUAACUCGGAACGGCCAAGUGAAACUGUCAAGCUAGAGUGCAGAAGGGGCAACUGGGAUUCUCGGUGUAGCGGUGAAAUGCGUAGAUAUCGAGAGGAACACCUGCGGCGAAGGCGGGUUGCUGGGCUGAUACUGACGCUGAGGCGCGAAAGCCAGGGGAGCGAACGGG
rnacentral:rRNA from 1 species